GGGACGUCGAGUGUAUUGUGUGGCCGAGGGUGCCUCUUUCAGGGACCCUGGAGGAGACAGACACGAGACAGGAACAUAUCAGGAAGCACCUUCCAAGCCCUCGAUCUGGUCCUGAUUGGCUCUUCCCAACUUGAGAGAAGCCAUGGCAGCCUGCUUCACCCACUGUUUACUGCUCGUCUUCCUCGUGGGCUUCACGCCCUACUGGGGUACUCUGAAAUGUUACAGUGGGAACAUAGUGGAAUUUGGUGGUGGCUUCGCUCAGGAAACUGUUAAAUGGUCUCCAAAGGACACCAUAGAAACUGGACCUAAUGAGACAUG